UACGUAGGGUGCAAGCGUUAUCCGGAUUUACUGGGCUUAAAGGGUGCGUAGGUGGUUAAGUACGUCAGGGGUGAAAUCUCCGGGCUUAACCCGGAAACUGCCAUUGAUACUAUUUGUCUUGAAUACUGUGGAGGUCAGCGGAAUAUGUCAUGUAGCGGUGAAAUGCUUAGAUAUGACAUAGAACACCAAUUGCGAAGGCAGCUGGCUACACAAAUAUUGACACUGAGGCACGAAAGCGUGGGGAUCAAACAGG
rnacentral:rRNA from 1 species